rnacentral:rRNA from 1 species
AACGAACGCUGGCGGCAUGCCUAACACAUGCAAGUCGAACGAGACCUUCGGGUCUAGUGGCGCACGGGUGCGUAACGCGUGGGAAUCUGCCCUUCGGUUGGGAAUAACUGAGAGAAAUUUCAGCUAAUACCUUAUAAUGUCUUCGGACCAAAGAUUUAUCGCCGAGGGAUGAGCCCGCGUAGGAUUAGGUAGUUGGUGGGGUAAUGGCCUACCAAGCCGACGAUCCUUAGCUGGUCUGAGAGGAUGAUCAGCCACACUGGGACUGAGACACGGCCCAGACUCCUACGGGAGGCAGCAGUGGGGAAUAUUGGACAAGGGGCGAAAGCGUGAUACAGCAAUGCCGCGUGAGUGAUGAAGGCCUUAGGGUUGUAAAGCUCUUUUAGCCGGGAUGAUAAUGACAGUACCGGGAGAAUAAGCUCCGGCUAACUACGUG